rnacentral:rRNA from 1 species
UACGGAGGGGGCUAGCGUUGUUCGGAAUUACUGGGCGUAAAGCGCACGUAGGCGGCUUUGUAAGUUAGAGGUGAAAGCCCAGGGCUUAACCCUGGAAUUGCCUUUAAGACUGCAUCGCUAGAAUCGUGGAGAGGUGAGUGGAAUUCCGAGUGUAGAGGUGAAAUUCGUAGAUAUUCGGAAGAACACCAGUGGCGAAGGCGACUCACUGGACACGUAUUGACGCUGAGGUGCGAAAGCGCCGGGAGCAAACAGG